UACGUAGGGGGCAAGCGUUGUCCGGAAUUAUUGGGCGUAAAGAGCGCGUAGGCGGUCCGAUAAGUCGGCUGUGAAAGUCAGGGGCUCAACCCUUGAAAGCCGGCCGAUACUGUCGGACUAGAGUCCGGAAGAGGCAAGUGGAAUUCCCGGUGUAGUGGUGAAAUGCGCAGAUAUCGGGAGGAACACCAAUGGCGAAGGCAGCUUGCUGGGACGGUACUGACGCUGAGGCGCGAAAGCGUGGGGAGCAAACAGG
rnacentral:rRNA from 1 species